UAGUUUUUCUUAAAUUCUAGCAUUCAGAAACCAGAAAUAAGUUCGAAGUGUUCAAAAUAUAGAAUAACUUGAUAAUUGCAGAAGACUUGAAAAAGACAACCUGCUGAUUGCACAAACUAGAUACUGGUGGCAGAGGACUAGAUAUUAAGAAAGGAAGACUAGAUACUACUAUCAGAAGAUGUUAUGGUCACUCUAAUUUGAACUGCAUCAUAUUCCUUGGCAUUUCUAAAAUAGGAAUAAAUUUCGAGUUGAGCAGAAUUUAUGGUCACUCUAGUUUGAACUGUAACAUGUUCCUCAUGACCUCUAAAAUAGCAACAUUCAGAAACCAGAAAUAAGUUCGAAGUGUUCAAAAUAUAGAAUAACUUGGUGCGGAAUAACAACUAAAACUAGAAUUAGCUUAACAUAAUCACUAGAACUAACA